GACGAACGCUGGCGGCGUGCCUAAUACAUGCAAGUCGAGCGAAUGACGAGAAGCUUGCUUCUCUGAUUUAGCGGCGGACGGGUGAGUAACACGUGGGCAACCUGCCCUACAGAUCGGGAUAACUCAGGGAAACCUGGGCUAAUACCGGAUAAUCCUUCGAAUCACAUGUUUUGAAGUUGAAAGGCGCUUCGGCGUCACUGUAGGAUGGGCCCGCGGUGCAUUAGCUAGUUGGUGGGGUAACGGCCUACCAAGGCAACGAUGCAUAGCCGACCUGGUAGGGUGGUCGGCCAGACUGCUACUGCGAAACGGCCAGAACUCCGAAGGGAGGCAGGAGUAGAGAAUCGUACACAAUGGGCGAGAGUCUGAUAGAGCAACGCCGCGUUAGUGAUGAAGGUUUACGGAUCGUAAAACGCUGUUGUAAGGGAAGAACAAGUACGUUAGGAAAUGAACGUACCUUGACGGUACCUUAUUAGCAAGCCACGGCUAACUACGUGCCAGCCGCCGCGGUAA
rnacentral:rRNA from 1 species